rnacentral:rRNA from 1 species
GUAGGGUGCGAGCGUUAUUCGGAUUUACUGGGCGUAAAGCGUGUGUAGGUGGUUUAACACGUCCUUGAUUAAAGACUCGGGCUCAACUCGAGGAAUGUUGAGGAUACGAUUAGACUAGAGGUUUGCAGGGGCAGAUGGAAUUCCCGGUGUAGCAGUGAUAUGCGUAGAUAUCGGGAAGAACACCGAUGGCGAAAGCAGUCUGCUGGGCUCAUCCUGACACUGAGACACGAAAGCGUGGGUAGCGAACGGGAUUAGAUACCCCGGUAGUCCACGCCCUAAACGAUGCUGACUAGGUAUGUGACGUAUCGACCCGUUGCGUACCGUAGCUAACGCGUUAAGUCAGCCGCCUGGGGAGUACGGCCGCAAGGCUA